UGAGGAAUAUUGGUCAAUGGCCGAGAGGCUGAACCAGCCAAGUCGCGUGAGGGAUGAAGGUUCUAUGGAUCGUAAACUCUUUUAUAAGGGAAUAAAGUGACCCACGUGUGGGUUUUUGUAUGUACCUUAUGAAUAAGGAUCGGCUAACUCCGUGCC
rnacentral:rRNA from 1 species